UCAGUCUGCAAAGCUAGGUGAAAAUAAGGCUGCUUGUCAUGGUUGACUGGGGAGAAGUCAUUACAGUUUUUAGAAGAUGUCCUGCAGACUGUUGUUCCUUCAAGUGGUUCUUCUCUUCCUUAUGUUUCUACAAGACAGCAGUGAUGCUGGAGUUGAUGGGGAAAAUACUGAGAAGGAGUUUGCUGGCAGCAUGAAAAACUUGACUGAAUAAUGAAACACAGUAUUUGGAAGCAUCUACUCGAUAAAAGCCCCAGAGUUACUUACAAGUCUCCUCAACCCUGAAUGGAUGCCUUUGGGUACAGCUGACAAGGCUGCAGUGCUGUGAGCCAAGGCGCGCUUGCCACCAAGCUUACAUCGGAAAUCCACGGACUUUGGCUAAGCUAAGGGAGCACCGGCACAAAUUGUCAUGGGUAAAACUAAUCCACAAAGUAUUUGGAAAAUAUGUGACACCUGAGCUGUUGGAUAAAAGCAAGAUCCUACAUGUGAUUACUUAGAAAAAAAUAUUGUGGUAGAACAAAAGUUUUUGAUACUCUAACAAAACUUAUUUCUUGCUUGGAAGCCCGCAUCAGCAAACACAUUUUUCUUCAUUGUUGACAUAUACUGAAAAUUAUAUAUGUGUGUGUGAAUUCUGGUUAUUGUUCUUGUAAUUAGCAUAAAGUAAACAAGAACAGUAAUUAUUAUUAUUAUUAAGAAACUGAUGGGUUAGAAUGCAUUUUUCUUGUUUGUGAGCAUGAUCUGUAAGACUGCACAAAAUAAUGACAAUAGUGUCACCUCAGAAAGGUGAGCUGGUUUCUCAGCAGGCAUAGGGGAGGAUGGAGAGGGCUCUAUGGUUUGAUUUCAUCUCACUGAAAACUGGAGAGCUGUGGAUUUUAUAUGGCCAGAGCUCGGCAGAACAGAGCUUUGUCUUGAUAACUCAAAAUGACUAGAUCAUGCCUGGUAGCUGGUCCUGGAAACCUGACCCUUGUCACAGGCUGACUACAUCAAUUUGCAGUAGAUUGAUGAUGUAUAGACUGUGGGUGCCCCAGGGGAGACCUAAGAAAGGCCUGAGAAACAUUGUAUUGUUAAUCCAUACCCCUCAUUAGCUUCUGCUGUGCUGGAUUUCAACUCGCUGGCAAGGCUAGAGGAGCUGGAGGGAAAAUGUGGCGUUGUCUGGCAUUGUUAUUGUUGGUUGCCUUUUGAAAGAAAGGAUGUUUUAAAAUACCUUUUCUCCAAAGUUUAAUAUAUCAAAAACUGUCAGGAUUCUUUAUUUUCCUCUCUAUCCCUCUUGUCAAGUGCCUGGAAUUCCUAGAUUUUCUUUGUAUAUUGAUUUAGCGCUCUCCCCUCAACAGCCCAAGCUUUAUCUCUUCCCGAUAAGAGUCUCUCUAUAUCCUUUCCCAAGUAGUGGCAGGCAAAUUAUAUACGCUGAAAUCGAUUUACAUUUUGCAAUCAUUCCUCAGUCCUGGCUCUGGGGUGCCCAUAGAGGCUGCAGCCCUGCCUUCAGGGCUCCUUUAUGCGCUUUUAUGGACGUGUUGCUUAACCAUUUCUGCUCAGUGCACUGCAAGGUUUUGAUUUGAAGGAGGCUAUAGUUUCAAACGCGGUUUCCAUCAAACAGUAACAUCUUUGUCAAACUUCAACAGAAUUAACCUUAACUGCCAAGGAAGUUUUGACUGCCAUCAUAAAAAUGUUUGAUUAGUGUUAAUAAUUUAUUAAAUUGGUUUGUCCUGACACUGCCAACAUGUUGGAAAUCCCUCAACCAUUAAAACAUUAACAGAGACUGUAAUACAAUGCUUCUUCUGUUCUACAUUUUAUUUCAAGACCACAUUCUUAUGAGCCUGGUUCUGUGGUGUUCCAAUAUGCUCUCAUUAGGACUGCAUUAAAAGAUGAAAUAUGACAAAUAUUAAAAAGCGUGGGAAUAUAGAGUAAAGCAUGGUGGGUGUACUUUUGUGGGCAACCCUGCUGCAAUUAAAUUUUUGCAAAGCAAGUCUGUUUUUGCAAUAUGGGGAAAUAAAAUUACCAGGCAAGUAUUUCACUGAAACAGACCCAAUAUGUUCAAUUGUUUCAUCCAACCUCCUAAAAUACAUAAGCUUAGUUAGAAUUUCUACUAAAAUGGGAAAGCUGAUAUUGGACCUGCUUAUU